GCAACACCGAGUACCGAUCGACGAAUUAAUCAAGCCUAACCUAAGCUCGUCGUUCAUUUCGUUGACUCGUUCAAACAUCCAUUAAGGUAACUUGUUGGGCGAAUUUACGACUUGGCAGACGUCUAUCUGUAUGAACCUGAUCGAUAAGUGCUGGACGUAAAAGGGAAGAGAAAGUUCAGACGAUUUGAAUGUGCCAAGCUGCAACAAUGCCCACGAUAAAUGGAGAAUAUUGUUCGAGUAUUAGCGUGCCUUUGUGGCCGAGUUAUUGAGACGUUAGAAGGAAGUACUUUAUAAAAUUGGACUGUUUAAUCCGAGGAGCGAGAGUGAGACAAUCAACGAUAUUCUCCAAGGUUCGAAAUUUCGAUGAUGGGAAGAGAAGCUAAAUUUUCGAUCAAACUGAGAUCCAAGAUGCAACCAAAUUCUCGGAUAUUUAACGUUUAAAAAAAUCACGCUGAUUUUCUCUAUAGCUAUGAUAACCGUAUAUUCUUUAUCGUAAAGGAUAGUUAUUUUAUUCCGCCGAAUCUAUUUUAAAUAUACACUUAGGAUUUAUUUCAACGCGAUGAUUCACGCUAUACUAGAAACUUAGGUCCAGUCAAGUAAUACAUUGUAUCGUAAAAUAAAGGAAAAUAUAAAAGA